CAUUAUCGUACUACAGAGGUGCAAGGGUUGUCGCUGACCUUUCCAAAAGGUCGUGCACGCCCGAGCGCUCUCAAUCCAUUUCACCCCUUGUGCAUCACCGCGCGGGGUCGCUCCCUCUUGGCUUGCUUCGAGAGGGGGAGGCUCGCGUUUUUCACACAUAAACACCCUUCUAGUUUAGAAUGUCAUUCAUUUGCGAUCACACGCAAUCAAUACAACUUUCAACAACGGAUCUCUUGGCUCUCGCAUCGAUGAAGAACGCAGCGAAAUGCGAUACGUAAUGUGAAUUGCAGAAUUCAGUGAAUCAUCGAAUCUUUGAACGCAUCUUGCGCCCCUUGGUAUUCCGAGGGGCACACCCGUUUGAGUGUCGUGAAAUUCUCAAACCUUCUUGGUUUCUCGAUCAAGAUGGCUUUGGACUUUGGAGGCAUUUUGCUGGCUUUGCGAAAAGCCAGCUCCUCUUAAAUACAUUAGUGGGGUCCCCUUUGCCGAUCCCCAGGCGUGAUAAGAUGUUUCUACGUCUUGGGAUUUGCUCUGUUCCUUGGGAACCCGCUUAUAACCGUCUCAUGGGAGACAUCGUUCGAGCAUGCUCGACCCACGAACCUUGACCUCAAAUCGGGUGAGACUACCCGCUGAACUUAAGCAUAUCA
rnacentral:rRNA from 1 species